AAUUUUGGGCUCAGUUGUGAUUGUAAGUCAAAGACUAGCUGUAAUUCUGUAAACUACUCUGAAGUAACCCGCGGCAUCCUUGUUAGUUCCUUAUGGCUGUCAGUAUUUCAGCACAGGGCUUUUCAGCUGGUGAAACGCGUACCACCUGUGGCAGGUGGUACGGGACCAUCCUAGAAGUGGUAGUGGGGGGAGGGGAAUGAGCUGAACCGGCGGCAGCACCGCACAAGCCUGAACGAGAGACGGCUGGAGCUGCAGGGCUGUCAGGGCUCAGCAGAAGCGCCAAGAUCAGCCCUGGAUUUUGGCUCUUUCCUUUGCGGGGAGGGGGCCAGGAGGAGGGAGGAGGCUUCCAUGUUCCUCAAAUCUGGGGCAAAGCAAAGCAACAGGAACCGGAAAUAGCCAAUUGUCUGGCUGACAGUGGCUGUGCUGUGCUGGAAGCGCAAGGCAGAGGUGCCCUGAAAACGGAUCAGAGAGAAAGCUGAGCAGAAGGGAAAUGUGAAAAAAAAAAACCCAAAACCCCACCUCCAGACAGCCUUUUCCCCUCCUUUCUGAACACCCUGAUGGUCCCCUGUGAUGGGCGAGGGAGGCAGCAAGAGGAGAGGGGCGCCGCCUGCUACGGGUCUUCAAUCUGUACUUCAUCUUGGACAAGCCACCAAAAUUGACGUCUGGCUAGGUGUAACGUCUUCAGGAAACCGAAAUGGCCGGCUAAUUUAGCAUCAUGACAACGGUGAUACACGCGAUCUCGUAAUCCCUGGGGAAUAUAUAGUCUAUUGCCAUACCAUGCUAAACCAUUCCGGUUUGUAAGUAACCCGGGAUUAUUCAACAACCAAGGAUCUUGUAAUAAAGCUGUUCUCACCUCAUCCUCAAACGAUGUCGUUUUCGCGCAGGAAUCUACAUGCAGAUCUCCGACGCUAUAAGGGGGCAUAAUGGCCUGGACCACCUCCUCCCUCGUACUAUCAUAUUGCGGUAGGCGAGAGAGGGCAUCCGCUAGGAAAUUUCUCCCCCCUGGAAUGACUUUAAGUUGGAAUCGGAAACGUUGGAAAUAUUGCACCCAACGCACGUGUUUAGGAGACAACCGCCCAGGCGUUUGUAGAACUGCUAGAUUCUGGUGGUCUGUCCACACUUCAAAGAGAUGUUGUGCCCACUCCAGUAAAUGGCGCCAGGUGGAUAAGGCCCAUCUAACUUACUGCAAGAACGUCCUGGUAGUGCUUCACAAAAGCCAAGAAACAGGAACGUUGAACAAUCAACAAGUUUAAUGCACUGUGUUGACAUUAAGUUAGCACUGGAAGUAACCUCCUUCCAGUGCCUUAAAUACAGCCACCUACCACGCCCAGAGCACACACCCCAAUUACCACCCAUGACCAUACUCCACCCUCGCCUAGCCCAACCCCAGUUGAUAACCCACACCCCACCAAUAACCUAAUUAACAAUGCUGCGCUCUCCUGCCCCAGUCCACGCCCCACACAUAGAAGUGAAAUGAACAAAGCCGGCAACACUCUGCUCUACCGUCCAGUCCUCUGCUCCAACGUCCACUAAUGACAGACCCAGCGACACUUGGAAGUCCAAUAAACAUAAGUACGAAGCAGCCUCCCCUCCGUUCGCCGCGUUUCGUCCGUGCUGUUGUUACUAGCCAUCUAAGUAUAUCAAUUACUAGCCAUCCUAGCUGGUCACGUGGGCUCAUCAGCUGCCGCUCUAGGAAUCGUGGUUUCCCAUCUCGGUGGUUGCAAUAGCAGUGCAAAACACGGAGCUGCCGCUCUAGGAAUCCCGGUUGCCCAUCUCGGUGGUUGCAAUGGCGGCGCAAAACGCGGACCCGCCGGAUCAGCUGUUGGGGCCUCUCCAAUGUUGCCAUUGUAUUCCAGAGUCCAGCUAGACAUAACAACACUAAAACGUAGCAUGAAAAUCAA